rnacentral:lncRNA from 1 species
CAGUAUAUUUGUAUUCUCCUUUGUGUGUGAUGUAAUGAAAUCUUAGCAGAAAAUGAUGGAAAGUUAAGAGAAGGAACAUUCAUAACAUCUAUGUUUCAAUGAAAUCUUUUGUAAGGAAAUCUAUAAGGAGUUGUAAGAAAACACAAAAGUACCUUUCAAACUCCCACAUGCAAAAUCAAUAUACUUUCUAUUUUAAACUCUAUAUGACAUUGUCUUAGCUCUUUCAACUGCACAACAAUAUCACCAGUUAGAGUAGCUUGCUGCAAAAUAUUAAUACAACAAAACAAUCUAUAAACCCUACAUUUUCAAACAGAAAAUAAAAUGUCAACGUACAGUUAUUUAGAAGAUAACUUUCUUGUUUGGCAUCAGUAUGCAUUUUCUGAGAUACUGUGAUAUAUGCAUACCAUACAAACACACAAUAUCAUAUACACAUAACCAUUGAUACUACAACAGAAAGCCUCACACAAAAUAAAAGUUAUAGUUAAAAAUUAAUAGUUAAGUAUUUAGAAAAACUUGAAACUAAAAGAGGCAGAAGCUAUUGAAAGUAAACACUUUGACCAAAAACUUGCAUAAUACAAUCAACAAUAUACUCAUAGAACUCUAACCUUACAUUAUAUGCUUCUUGCUCUGAGCCAACAAACAAAAAAGAUGCUCCUGAUCAUAGAAAGCUUAACAAGAUGAAAAUGCUAGUUAUAAAAAAUAAACCCUAAUUGUAAAAAAUAAUAAGGAAAUCAUAACAGAAAAUCAUAAAACUUUCUACGAGUACCUUUCUAUGUGCAGUUGUGAGCUUUCUCCAACACUCUUUUGCCCCUUUUCCAUUUGUGGUUGAAGAUGU